GACGAACGCUGGCGGCGUGCCUAAUACAUGCAAGUCGAACGCUUCUUUCCUCCCGAGUGCUUGCACUCAAUUGGAAAGAGGAGUGGCGGACGGGUGAGUAACACGUGGGUAACCUACCCAUCAGAGGGGGAUAACACUUGGAAACAGGUGCUAAUACCGCAUAACAGUUUAUGCCGCAUGGCAUAAGAGUGAAAGGCGCUUUCGGGUGUCGCUGAUGGAUGGACCCGCGGUGCAUUAGCUAGUUGGUGAGGUAACGGCUCACCAAGGCCACGAUGCAUAGGCGAACUGAGAGGGGGAUCGGCCACACUGGGACUUGGACAACGCCCAGAAUCCUACGGGAGGCAGCAGUGGGGAAUUUUCGGCAAUGGGCGGAAAGUUGACCGAGGAACGCCGGGGGAGGGAAAGAGGUUUUCGGGUCGGAAAAACCUUUUGUUAGGGAAGAACAAAGACGGUAGUAACUGAACGUCGCCUGACGGUAUCUAACCAGAAAGACACGGCUAACUACGUG
rnacentral:rRNA from 1 species